UGGUUGCUUACCCAUGUUGUGAAUUCUGAUUGGAUGGACAUCCCCACGCCUGUUCAGCCUCAAGAAGCACAACAAACACAAGGCUUGUGAAGGCAGCACCAUGUUGACAGCGCAGAGGGCAUGUGCGUCCUUGGCUUCUUCCCAGCGGUUGCUGGCAGCCUCCCGCCCCGUCGCCCCGGGCCUGGACACCUACCAGCGCCGUCGCUUCCAUACCGCCACGGCGCGGCGCGACGAGGUCAAGCUGCACGAAAACUGGGCGAACCUCGCCAAGAAGCAGCUAAAAGGCAAGAACCCGGAGGACCUGAUCUGGCGCACUCCAGAGGGCAUCUCCAUCAAGCCUGUGUACACUAAAGCCGACUCGGAGAAUGUUAGCGAUGAACUGCCCGGGGUGCACCCUUUCACCCGCGGCCCGUACCCCACCAUGUACACCUUCAGGCCCUGGACUAUUCGACAGUACGCUGGCUUCAGCACCGUGGAGGAGAGCAACAAGUUUUACAGGGACAACAUCAAAGCGGGCCAGCAGGGCUUGUCGGUGGCCUUCGAUCUCCCCACGCACCGCGGCUACGACUCGGACAACCCACGUGUCCACGGCGACGUGGGCAUGGCGGGCGUGGCCAUCGACACGGUGGAGGACAUGAAGCUGCUGUUCGACGGCAUCCCGCUGGAGCGCAUGUCCGUCUCCAUGACGAUGAACGGCGCCGUCAUCCCAGUGCUGGCCAUGUUCAUCGUGACGGGCGAGGAGCAAGGGGUGGACAAGGCCAAGCUGACAGGGACCAUCCAGAACGAUAUUCUCAAGGAGUUUAUGGUGCGCAACACCUACAUCUUCCCGCCGGAGCCCUCCAUGCACGCCAUCGCCGACAUCUUCGCCUACACCUCCAAGAACAUGCCCAAGUUCAACUCCAUCUCCAUCAGCGGGUAUCACCUGCAGGAGGCAGGUGCCGAUGCCAUCCUGGAGCUGGCCUACACCAUCGCCAACGGCCUGGAGUACUGCAGGACCGGCCUGAAAGCUGGCCUCACUAUUGACGAGUUUGCACCUAGGCUGUCAUUCUUCUGGGGUAUCGGCAUGAACUUCUACAUGGAGAUUGCUAAGCUGAGGGCCGCCCGGCGCCUGUGGGCCACUCUCAUCAAGGAGAAGUUUGGACCCAAGAACACCAAGUCACUGCUGCUCAGGACCCACUGCCAGACAUCGGGCUGGUCCCUCACGGAGCAGGACCCGUACAACAACGUGAUCCGCACAGUGAUCGAGGCCAUGGCGGCGGUGUUCGGCGGCACGCAGUCGCUGCACACCAACUCCUUCGACGAAGCGCUGGGCCUGCCCACCGUCAAGAGUGCCCGUAUCGCCCGCAACACGCAGAUCAUCAUCCAGGAGGAGUCGGGCAUCCCCAAGGUGGCCGACCCCUGGGGUGGCUCGCACAUGAUGGAGACACUCACAGACGAUGUCUACAAUGCUGCCCUCAAGUUCAUCACUGAGAUUGAGGACAUGGGUGGAAUGGCCAGGGCCGUGGCUGAAGGCAUCCCCAAACUGCGCAUUGAGGAGUGUGCAGCCCGCCGGCAGGCUCGCAUAGACUCAGGUUCGGAGGUGAUUGUGGGCGUGAAUAAGUACCGUCUGGAGAAGGAGGAGAGCGUGGAGGUGCUGGCCAUCGACAACACCAUCGUACGCAACAAGCAGAUCAGUAAAAUUAAGAAGGUGCGGGAGUCCAGAGACCCUGAGGCAGUGAAGAGCUGUUUGACUGCCAUCGAGGAGUGUGCCCGGACCAGGGAGGGGAACCUUCUGGCCCUUGCCGUGGAGGCAGCACGGGCAAGGUGUUCCGUGGGCGAGAUCACUGACGCCAUGAAGGCGGUGUUUGGGGAGCAUAAGGCCAGCACGCGCAUGGUGAGCGGAGCGUACCGCAGCGAGUUCGGGGAGGUGGACGAGAUCAGCCUGGCACACAACCGGGUCUUGGAGUUCCGUAAGCACGAGGGCCGGAACCCUCGACUCCUGGUGGCCAAGAUGGGGCAGGACGGCCAUGACAGAGGCGCCAAGGUCAUCGCUACGGGAUUUGCAGAUCUGGGAUUCGACGUCGACAUCGGCCCACUCUUCCAGACACCGGUGGAAGUGGCUCAGCAGGCGGUGGACGCGGAUGUGCACUGCGUGGGCGUGAGCACGCUGGCGGCCGGCCACAAGACCUUGGUGCCCGAACUCAUCAAGGAGCUGAGGAACAUGGGCCGGCCCGACAUCCUGGUCAUCUGCGGCGGAGUCAUCCCACCCCAGGACUAUGAGUUCCUGUAUGAGAGCGGGGUCUGCUGCAUCUUUGGACCUGGGACCAGGAUCCCCCAGGCAUCUGUGGAGGUUGUGGACAACAUCGAGAGGAGCCUGGAGAAGAACAGGCAGGCCAUGUGAACUCAGCACACCAGGCCAGUAGGAGGCUAUUAUUAACCCACUGGAAUUUACUGUGGCCUUCUGACACCCGUUGAAGAAGGGAGGAGUUACAAAAAAAAUCAAUUCCUUUCUUUUUCUUUGUUGUUUUUGUUCUUUAAGUUUUGGGUGGGUGGCUGGAUGGAUGAUGUAUAGUAUCAAAUGAAACCUAAAACGGAUCCAAAAGAAGCAGCCGUUUUUUAACCCCCUUAUUUUUCCAGACAGAUCAGGAACUGUUCCACAGCCCCCAAGCUUCAGUCUGAAACUCUUGUUGUCCUCUACCCACAGAAAUGAAGAGUGAAUACCUCCUUGAUUUGAGUUCUGCUCACCCGAGAAUGGUGACUGUGGCCGAGUUGUGUCCCAUGGGGCAUGAUAUACACAGUGAAUUCACUGUCUCCUACAAUGCUUAACAGCUAGUGCGUCUAAGGAAACACCUCAACAAGUCUGCAGUUCAUCGUGAUCUUUCUUGCAACUGGUGAUUCUUUUUUUUCUUUCAAACAGCAUACAACAUCUCUCAAGUGGCUCAUAUUGUCUUAGAGAACAUUCCUGUGCUUACAGAAGCCUCAGAGAGAGAGCAAAAGCUAGCAAGAACGCUUUCUGCUGUUCCACAUGCAUCUGGCUCUGCUAAGAUAAGCUCUGGCAAACUCUCAUCUCAUCUUCUGACGUUCACUUGACCGUAGGCUCAUCCGUGCCUACUGUACAACCCCACUGUGUGUUUCUACACAGAGGACACCUGAUAGACGAUAAAUGGAAGACACUGAUGGGUGAUGAACAACACAGCAUUUUGCUGGUGUUGCUGGUCUAUAGUAUGCUUGCAUACCGAGAAGACUUUAUUAAUGUACACCACAUUAGUCUAGCUGGAGCUGACUGCCUCCCACUGCUGAGGACGAUGUUCACCACACACACACACACACACACACACACACACACACACACACACACACACACACACACACACACACACACACACACACACACACACACACACACACGCUUUUUCUUUGUAUUUGUCAUCACAGUCGUCAUUUUCUCAAGUUUCUUUAGUCUUCUAACAUGAUCUUCAGGAUUCCCAUGGUGAUCACUAAACGUUGUAGCUUCCAUUUACAGUUAGUAGAGGGUCUAUUUCUAAUCUCUGAUUAGAAAAUACUGGUUCUCAAUCUGCCCCAGUUCUGUCAGCUUUCCUGAGAUCGAAUAUGCCAAUUGUUUGGAUAAAGAGUAGCUCUGGGUUCUACACUGUGCAUCAUCUUCUCUGCAGUGUCUGCCUUUCCCUCGGCUUGUCACCAAUAAUUCCUCUUGUGUAAGUGUUUGCUGCCAGCUUGAUUGUCAGUUUCUCCCAUGCUCUACUUUCAUAAACGCCUUCUUCCAUGAAUGGAUGUCUGACAUUUCCUAUAGAUUGAUUCUCUAAUCAGACCCUGGUGAAUUGAUCUUGCCUGCCCUCUUGGUCAGAAAAGCUCUUAGGAAUUCAAUAUUACAGUUGAUCUGUAUUGCAGACUUUGAAAAGCUUUCAAGCUCAAAACUAGUUAAUUCACCACUUGGAUCAUUAAAUUGACUUUGUCAUAGGGUUCAUUCGUACGAGGCUUUUCCUGGAAAAUGUGUUUAUUGUGCUUGGAAGGAUUAGUGACAAGCCAGUGAAGGGUGGUGGGGGUGGUGGAAUUGACUGUCUAGGAAUCCGAAGACAAUAAUAGAAUAGGUGACUGUAAUGAGCCUGGUUUCCCUAUACUUCACAGUACGAUUUUGUCAUUGUGGAGGGAUGGAAGUUAGAUAUUGAGUGGUAAGAGACUGUCAGCUCUGGAUAUGGUGUAAAUUGAUGAUGCUUUCUGGCAGAAACGGUUGGCUGCCCUCAAUGACCCAUGUUGAAGACACCCUGCUGUGUGAGAUUGUGUGUUUGUUUGUGUGCGUGCAUUUGUGUGAGCAUGUGCAGAUUAAGUCCAAUGAUGAGUUGUGAACUUCUUUUGAGAUUUGGAUAUUAAACACAUUGUUUAGUUUAAAUUGAUCAUAUAAAUAACACUUCAGCUGUGUGCGUGAUUUUUCUCCCUUUUUCAUUCAGAAGUGAUGCACUUGUAUGUCCACGGCAAUUGUAUUAGGCAUCUCUGGUGAAUGAAUGGUGUUAGACAGGUUGUGACAUGUUUUUUUUCACUUUGUAAACAUUCAUCUGACAUAAAUAAAUAAACUUUUAAACCUGCAUUA